GUUCCCGUGGUGCAGUGGUUAGCAUAUCGCUCUUAUAAUGCGGAGAUCGCGAGUUCAAUCCUCGCCGGGAACA
rnacentral:tRNA from 1 species